CUCUCCGGGUAGAUCCAUGACCGUCCUGGUGCUCGGCGGCUCCCCGGUGCUCUGUUCUCCGGCGGCUGCGGGAGAGCCGUGGGGCGAGAAAGGGGAGCGUCAAGAGAGAGAGAGAUCCGUGCGUCACCGCUGUGCGUACAGCAGGAGCGAGAAGACAUGUGUGGAGGAGACCGACGCUUCGGGUUUUCGCAGGCCGGCCAGACUAAACGACUUAACGAGUUCAGACUGAGGAGAAAGCCCCGCGGAAAGUUUGAAGCGGAGUUUAAACUUCCAGGUGGUUUACGGACCGGAGGGUUGGUGUGAAUUCAGGCCGCAGUGGUUCAUUACAAGCCGGUCUGUGUAGCCGCCUUCUGCCCGCGUCCAGAGCCGCCGACCGCCGGGCCACUUCACUGUUCAACAAGAGGAGUUUCGCUCCGCGGUGUUUCCAACUUGGCUUCCUCCCACUCGCCUCCUGUGUGAUUUUUUUUUUUUUUCAACACGAGCAUCAAGUGGGCUGAGCAAACACACUGGAGCUUCCGGUGCCCGUAACCGACCUGGGAUAAAGAAUACAACAGUGCGACCCCCUGGAUCAAACUGAUCACUUCACCUGCUCACAAACAGCUCGAAGAACCACAAUAUCCUGAUUCAUUGCAAAAUGAUCCCAUCUGGCCCUUAAGAAAUGUCAUUUCAAUGAUAAUGAUUAUAAUAAUCAUAAUUCUAUACACAUACAAUCUCCAUAAUAGUUUGCCCUGUGAUUCCUGUAUGUAUCUAGUGUGCACAUAGGGCCUAAUAACUCAACUUUAUAGAUGAAUAUAGAGGUUUUUUUUAAUUUAAUGCUGUUAUAUUACAAUCAACCCAGCACAUUCUGCAGUUUGACAGGUGAUAAAUGGCUCAAACCCAGUGAGUCCCGCCCAUGCAAAUACAACAUUCUCACAAGGGGACUGCCCCCUUUGGCACCACGGUAGUACUGUGUGUGGGACUGGUGCCAUGUUGCUGGUCCAGCUGGCACCUUGACGGCUGACAGAAACAUGCAGUCAACCAAGCUUAAACGAUUAAAGGGUCAAACCAAGUGUAACCUGACGAUAGGCAGGGGCUGUGGUAAAUAAGGGAGGGAACAAAAUUUAUUCAAAAACCUGCCAGCCACUUGCUUAUUCUCUAUGAAUGCCUGACUUAUGAGGGGGCAGGAGGACUACAGCAGGAAGUAGGAACUACAACCAGCACCACUUCUUUCAUUUGAAGUUUCUGAGGGGCUUCGGGUCAACUCUCAAGCACUAAUGAACUACUGAGUUUUUCUUCCAAGACAACUGAGAGAAGGAGCCUGUCAGCUCUCGGCACAAGGAAACCAUCAUGGGAUCGGUUAAUUCAAAGCUCCCGCAGUUCCUAAAGGGUUCAGGCUCCACAUUAAAGCUCUGACAUAUACUGAGAGAUUACCAGUGAGCGGAGAAACCCCGGGCUGACUUCUACCAAGAGUGGGGGGCCGGGGGAACUCUGGGAGACACAUCACAUCUUGGCAAGGCAUCAGCGUUCACAGGGUUCCCACACUCACUUUGAUACUAACGUUUAAGAUCUUGCUCGGUGGAAUUCAGUGUAAUAUAAUCUGCAGGUGUGGGGACAGGGCAAAGCAGAACACUGGUCAAUCCAGUUAUUUAAAUGCUUUAAACACAAAAAUGAGAGGCCUGUAGGGAAUCCACAAAGUCGCCGCACACAUACGAGUAAAUGA